UACGAAGGGGGCUAGCGUUGCUCGGAAUUACUGGGCGUAAAGGGCGCGUAGGCGGAUAUUUAAGUUGGGGGUGAAAUCCCGGGGCUCAACCUCGGAAUUGCCUUCAAAACUGGAUAUCUUGAGUUCGGGAGAGGUGGAGUGGAACUCCGAGUGUAGAGGUGAAAUUCGUAGAUAUUCGGAAGAACACCAGUGGCGAAAGGCGACUCACUGGCCCGAUACUGACGCUGAGGCGCGAAAGCGUGGGGAGCAAACAGG
rnacentral:rRNA from 1 species